CCUACGGGCGGCAGCAGUGGGGAAUAUUGGACAAUGGGGGAAACCCUGAUCCAGCGACGCCGCGGGAGUGAAGAAGUAUUUCGGUAUGUAAAGCUCUCUAAGCAGGGAGGAAAGAAAUGACGGUACCUGACUAAGAAGCCCCGGCUAACUACGUGCAGGCAGCCGCGGUAAUACGUAGGGGGCAAGCGUUAUCCGGAUUUACGGGGUGUAAGGGGAGCGUAGACGGCGAUGCAAGUCUGAAGUGAAAGGCGGGGGCCCAACCCCCGGACUGCUUUGGAAACUGUAUGGCUGGAGGGCAGGAGAGGUAAGUGGAAUUCCUAGUGUAGCGGUGAAAUGCGUAGAUAUUAGGAGGAACACCAGUGGCGAAGGCGGCUUACUGGACUGUAACUGACGUUGAGGCUCGAAAGCGUGGGGAGCAAACAGGAUUAGAUACCCUUGUAGUC
rnacentral:rRNA from 1 species